rnacentral:rRNA from 1 species
UACCAUGAAGCUGGAGUUACUAGUAAUCGCAGAUCAGAAUGCUGCGGUGAAUGCGUUCCCGGGUCUUGUACACACCGCCCGUCACACCACGGAAGUUGGGGCGCCCGAAGCCACUUAGCUAACCCUUUUGGGAAGCGAGUGUCGAAGGUGAAAUCAAUAACUGGGGUGAAGUCGUAACAAGGUAUC